AUUGAACGCUGGCGGCAGGCCUAACACAUGCACGUCGAGCGAGCGGCGGACGGGUGAGUAAUGUCUGGGAAACUGCCUGAUGGAGGGGGAUAACUACUGGAAACGGUAGCUAAUACCACAUACCAUAAGAUGUCCCCAGAUGGGAUUAGCUAUUAGGUGGGAUAACGGCCUACCAAGGCGACGAUCCCUAGCUGGUCUGAGAGGAUGACCAGCAACACUGGAACGGAGACACGGUCCAGACUCCUACGGGAGGCAGCAGUGGGGAAUAUUGCACAAGGGGCGCAAGCCUGAUGCAGCCAUGCCGCGUGUAUGAAGAAGGCCUUCGGGUUGUAAAGUACUUUCAGCGGGGAGGCGUUACCCGCAGAAGAAGCACCGGCUAACUCCGUGCCAGCAGCCGCGGUAAUAC
rnacentral:rRNA from 1 species